rnacentral:lncRNA from 1 species
CUUAACAUAUUAAAGACAUAUAAUCAAAAGUCAAUUAAGUUGUUUCUCAGUUAAUAUAUAAUAUGAUUUAUCUCUUUAAAACUAAUGAUACAUUUGGUUAAGGUAAACAUAAAAACAUGUAUUAGGAAAAUGGUAGUUUAAGCAAUUUUUCUCAUAAUUUGUUCCAAAUCACACUUUCUCACUCAUUUUUUUUAAUUUAGUGUUUAACAUAAAACUCAAAUGGGUUAAGCAAACAAAUUAUUCCUUAAAUUAUCUCUCA